AGGUAUGUACCUAUAUAAACCUCAAACGAACUAGCAAUUUUGAGAUACAUAUUUAAAUAUUUAUUCUAUCUCAUUGUCAGUUCUGUUUCUAGAAUUAGAUAAAAAGUAAACACAAUGGAGAAGCUUACAAUUUUCGUGAUCGGUUUAUUGAUUGUCUGCGUUACACUAGUUCCAGAAAUUGAAUCUCGACGAAUGGACUCUAGAAUGAAAUCUAGAAUGUAUUGUUACCCGAAUGGAGUAUGGUUCGAUGAUGAAAACACGUGCAUGAUGAUAUGUAAAAAAGGUUGUGAACGUGAAGGAUGCGGCGGAUUUAGAGCCUGUGGGGAAAUAGCGGACGCACCUUUGGGAACGCGUAGUUGUCAUUGCGGGCAUACGUAAUGUACCUGUGAUCACAAGGCCCACAAGCCAAUCAUUUAGGAUUAAAAUAUAAUUUCGAUUUAAUUAAUCUUAAUCCUUAUUCAAUUAUUAAAGAUAUAAUAUCACAAUAAAUCCAUUCUAAACACAA